AUUUGAGGCCUGCCUGGGCAUUUAGCAAGAGCCUGUCCAAAAUAAAAUGGGCUGAAAAUGUAGUCAGUGGUAAAGCACCCCUGGGAUCAAUCCUCAGUACUGAAAAAAAAAUUUUUUUUAAUAAUAUCAACCUUCAAGUUGCCCUCAAAAAGAUGACAUAGACAAAGUUUAUGUCUACAGAAUUUUGCAAUAUUGUUUGGAUUCCUCUAUAAUAGUACAUUUUGGGUUGGGGGGCGGUAACCGGGAUUUAACUCAGGGGCACUUGACCACUGAGCCACAUCCACAGCCCUAUUUUGUAUCUUAUUUAGGGUCUUACUGAGCUGUUAAGCACCUCAUCGUUGCUGAGGCUGGCUUUGAUUCUCAGCCUCCUGAGCCGCUGGAUUACAGGCAUGCACUACUGUGCCUGGCUUAAGAGUACAUUUUUUUUUAA
rnacentral:lncRNA from 1 species